GUGGGGAAUCUUGCGCAAUGGGCGAAAGCCUGACGCAGCCAUGCCGCGUGAAUGAUGAAGGUCUUAGGAUUGUAAAAUUCUUUCACCGGGGACGAUAAUGACGGUACCUGGAGAAGAAGCCCCGGCUAACUUCGUGCCAGCAGCCGCGGUAAUACGAAGGGGGCUAGCGUUGCUCGGAAUUACUGGGCGUAAAGGGCGCGUAGGCGGACAGUUUAGUCAGAGGUGAAAGCCCAGGGCUGAACCUUGGAAUUGCCUUUGAUACUGGCUGUCUUGACUACGGGAGAAGUGAGUGGAACUCCGAGUGUAGAGGUGAAAUUCGUAGAUAUUCGGAAGAACACCAGUGGCGAAGGCGACUCACUGGCCCGUUACUGACGCUGAGGCGCGAAGGCGUGGGGAGCAAACAGGAUUAGAAACCCUAGUAGUCC
rnacentral:rRNA from 1 species